AGAGUUUGAUCAUGGCUCAGAUUGAACGCUGGCGGCACGCCUAACACAUGCAAGUCGAGCGGUAACAUGAUGUGUAGCAAUACACAUUGAUGACGAGCGGCGGACGGGUGAGGAACACGUAGGAACUUACCUUUUAGAGGGGGAUAACUAAGGGAAACUUUAGCUAAUACCGCGUAAUGUCGAAAGACCAAAGCUGCCCGCAAGGGUGGCGCUGAAAGAGAGGCCUGCGUCGAUUAGCUAGUUGGUGGGGUAAAGGCCUACCAAGGCGAUGAUCGGUAACUGGUCUGAGAGGACGACCAGUCACAUUGGGACUGAGACACGGCCCAAACUCCUACGGGAGGCAGCAGUGGGGAAUCUUGGACAAUGGGGGAAACCCUGAUCCAGCGAUGCCGCGUGGGUGAAGAAGGCCUUCGGGUUGUAAAGCCCUUUAGGCCGGGACGAAGGUUAUGGUAGGAAAUGACUGUAAUUUGACGGUACCGGCAGAAUAAGCACCGGCAAACUCUGUGCCAGCAGCCGCGGUAAUACAAAGGGUGCAAGCGUUAAUCGGAGUUACUGGGCGUAAAGGGUGCGUAGGCGGUUUAAUGAGUGUGAUGUGAAAGCCCUGGGCUUAACCUAGGAAGUGCAUCGCAAACGAUUAGACUGGAGUAGAUGAGAGGGUGGCGGAAUUUCCGGUGUAGCAGUGAAAUGCGUAGAGAUCGGAAGGAACGUCAAUGGCGAAGGCAGCCACCUGGCAUCAUACUGACGCUGAGGCACGAAAGCGUGGGGAGCGAACAGGAUUAGAUACCCUGGUAGUCCACGCUGUAAACGACGAUAACUAAAUGUUGCUAGGGGAACUUAGCAGUAUUGAAGCUAACGCGAUAAGUUAUCCGCCUGGGAAGUACGGCCGCAAGGUUGAAACUCAAAUGAAUUGACGGGGGCCCGCACAAGCGGUGGAGCAUGUGGUUUAAUUCGAUGCAACGCGAAGAACCUUACCUACCCUUGACAUCCUAGGGAUUCUGCAGAGAUGCGGAAGUGCCGAAAGGAACCCAGAGACAGGUGCUGCAUGGCUGUCGUCAGCUCGUGUUGUGAGAUGUUGGGUUAAGUCCCGUAACGAGCGCAACCCUUGUUCUUAGUUACCAGCAUUAAGUUGGGGACUCUAAGAAGACUGCCGGUGUUGAACCGGAGGAAGGCGGGGACGACGUCAAGUCAUCAUGGCCUUUAUGGGUAGGGCUACACACGUGCUACAAUGGGGCGUACAGAGAGUCGCGAACCCGCGAGGGGGAGCCAAUCUCGUAAAGCGUCUCGUAGUCCGGAUUGGAGUCUGCAAUUCGACUUCAUGAAGU
rnacentral:rRNA from 1 species